CUAAAAAGAGAGACGGAUACACUUUAAUGGGGGAGGGGCCGCAAUUCUCAAAAUCCAAGAGUGACCCCCUGAAGCUUGGUCUCUUUCACACCCCCCUCCCCAUCGACGGAGCUCUUUCUUCUUAACCACACCCCAAAUAGACCCGUCAUUCUUCAACCAGACCCCACCCCCGAGUCAUCUCCUUCGUCGAACCUCCAGCGACCACUCCCUGAGCCAGAUCUAGCCGUUGUUUCUCAUCCAGUCAAACGGACCUCAAAACACAAUAGACCUAGCAGCCAUAGACAAAGAGAAGCUGUUGCUUCUUCUUCAUAAAACCAACAGACACUUCUUCCAAAAAACGCACACACACCAUCACGCGCACGAACAGAUUUUCGAAACGUAGAGUUUAACUAAAGUUGAGAAUCGUUUUUGAGUUCGAAUCCGUUGUCAGUUUCCGUUAAGGUUCGAGGUCGGGGUUAAUAGCUCAUUUUUGGUUUGCUGCUUUGGAAACUCUCUUCGUUGACUCAUCGUCGAAGAAUAUGCAGCAGCGAGGAAUGUUGGAGAUUUGGACUGUAAUAAAGAAAUCUAACUUAAAAAGGAGUGCUCCGGCUCAUAAGGCAAGAAUGGGCGCAACAGACCAAAAGUGCGGUCCGCAGAAGUAUUUCUGCAUCCGCGGAAGAAAGCCCGGACAACAAAAUUCUCUCUGCGGCCACAGAUUUGGUGUUGAAGCUCAGAGGUUGAUUGAAUAGAAGUGCAGACCCAAGGGCAGCUCAAGCACAUACGAGGCCUAAAGCCAAAAUUUAAUAUGAGGCCUAAAUUUUUAUAAGAAAGUUAUAAGAUAUGUUUUUAUUUAAUUUGAAGUCUAUUCUUCUAAUGUUUUGAGAUAUAAAGUUGUUAAUAAUUUUUUUAUAA